GUAGGGAAUAUUGCACAAUGGAGGAAACUCUGAUGCAGCGACGCCGCGUGAGUGAUGAAGGCCUUCGGGUCGUAAAACUCUGUGAUAAGGGAAGAUGAUGACGGUACCUUAUCAGAAAAGACCGGCUAACUUCGUGCCAGCAGCCGCGGUAAUACGAGGGGUCUAAGCGUUGUUCGGAAUCACUGGGCGUAAAGCGGGUGUAGGUGGCUAUGCAAGUUGGAUGUGAAAGCCCCGGGCUCAACCCGGGAAGUGCAUCCAAAACUACGUAGCUUGAGUGCGGGAGAGAAAGGCAGAAUUCCUGGUGUAGUGGUGAAAUACGUAGAUAUCAGGAGGAACUCCGGUGGCGAAGGCGGCCUUUUGGCCCAGCACUGACACUCAGACCCGAAAGCGUGGGUAGCAAACAGGAUUAGAAACCCGAGUAGUCC
rnacentral:rRNA from 1 species